CGGAUAGAGCUAGCGAAGUCGUUCGUAUUCAGCCGAAGGCCGGUGGUAUCGGUGUGUCGGGUUGCUAAUCAUGCCUGGCGCGCCUUUUGCUGCCGGUUGAGGUGCAUUUGCGGGCGUUUGCGCUGAGACUUGCGGACCAGCUUCUGGACCCGGGCCUAGAGGCCGUCCUAUGGGCGGAACUUGGGCACGGCGACGGUUGUUUGGACUGCUCGUACCACGACUUGGCCUACGGACCGCGGUGCCGUCGUCGCUCUCUUGAGGUGGCAUCGCAUGCGAUGACCCGCUUGGGGGUGGCGGUUGUGCUGUGUGUUCUCGAGUCGGCUCUCGGUGUAAAAGCUGGUCACCUAUCCGACCCGUCUUGAAACACGGACCAAGGAGUUUAGCGUAUACGCGAGCCAUUGGGUGUUUAAACUCACAGGCACAAUGAAAGUGAAGGCCCAGCCGCUGGGCUGACAUGCGAGUUGGUGGGCUUCGGCCUGCCGAUGCAGCAUGGUCCCGUUUCGGUCGCUUGCGACGGAGCGGAGACAGAGCGUAUGCGCUGAG
rnacentral:rRNA from 1 species